GCCCCCGCCGCCUCUGUACCAGGGAGAGCGCCUGGAAGGCGCCGCUGCCUCUCUCUCCCUACGUGCCCACCUGCCUCUAGGAACUGCUUGGAGAUUACUUGGCAAAGUGUGAUGGUGCUACACAGCCCGUAAGAAAUUUGUAAUCACCCAUCUAACAAGUACCUAGGCUGGAUCUGCAAACUGCGUGGAAAUUUCUAGCACGUGUGGGAAGAAGCAUGAUCAACAUUUCUUAGACCAUUUCAGGUCCGGAAGUGGCCCUCUUGCAGUUUAGCAGGACAUAUAUUCUCAAGAGAUUCUGAGUAGCCACAGAACUUACAGAAGUUGUCAUUAUUUACCUACUGCUCAGAAAAACAGGACACUGUCUGUGGGCCAAUUUGCUAAGAAAAAAAUUUAAAUAAUAUGUAAAUAAAUGUAAAUAAUGUAGAAGCACAAUCUGCCUUUGCUUUUUCUUAUAAAUAUAAGAAAAUAUUUUCAUUAAAAUAACCAAAAAAUAGACAAGAUUUACCCAGCACCUUUAGAAUGAAAGUAACGUGGCAGUGCUUCACUGGGAAAAAGUGAAGCUGAAUGAGAUGAAAUUUAGAAACUGAGAAAUGGUCAGGAAAAAACAAGAAUUCAAAAAGCAAAUAGAAGUAUUAUUUGACUGAAAAACCUGAGGCUAAAAUAUGAAAUCAAGCUAAUUUCUGAGGUAUCUACUUAUUCUUUGUUUCAAGACAAGUC
rnacentral:lncRNA from 1 species